ensembl:lncRNA
GAAAAACUUUGCAACUUUUCUUCUCUGGUUUUUCUCAUUCUAUAAUGCUUCUGACAUUACAUUAAAAAGAAAAAAAUAACAUCAUAGGGCAGAGGUAAGUGGAGUUAUAGAACAGGGAAUGUCAGUACAUGAAAAGGUGCGCUCUACCUCAGUGUAUUUUGAGUUACUGUAAUGACUCUCAAAACAGGGCUUACUUUUCACUUGUGUGACUUGAAUAAGGAUUGAACUCAGGGACUGUAAUACCACAGGGAGAACACAAAUUUAGGAUAACAGAGGCUGUUUUUCCUGUAAAUCUCAGAUAACUCCUAUUCCAAAUCCCUUUUGAGCUGACAGAGAUAAAAGGUAGUCCAGGAGCCUAGUGCAGCCUCAGACUUUCCUGUAGACUUCAAGAUCUGGGAAAAUCAUAGAAUCUCAUUUUACCUUCUUUUUCUCUUCAUCUGUAAAACAGAAAUGAGAUUUCACUACUUCAGAUGUGCACCAUAAGUUUUUUUGAGAAGUUCAGAUACUAGUAAUAGAAAAUUUGUAAAUCCCUAAACCAGGCAGAUAUUUGCGCCUAAGGAUAUUAGGAGAGAAAUACAUGUAGGAAAGAAAUAGAAAAGGAAAGUUCCUUUUCAUUGUAGAGAUGACUAACAAAAUGUUUGUCUAGACGGGAGUUUAUUUGGAAUAGUUCAGAAAAAGUUAAGACAGAGAGGUCCUAAGAAGUCAGGGAAUGGACUAAAUUGCUCCAUUCCAGAAAAAUUAUUUUGUGUUAGUGAUACAUGGUACAUCUGUCUUUCGUCUCACACUCUCAGGAGACCAUUUUGUAAAUUUAAAGACCCUAAAAAGUCCACAAAGAUGAAACUUCUGCAGGUGAUUAUUCCCCACAGAAGGGGCAUUUGUUUUGAUUCUGAGUUUCUAUUUUGCAGCUCUCCCUUGCAGCAUCCUGUGCUACAGUCCCCUUUUCAGCAGCCUUUCAAGUUAAUAUUCAAACAGCUCUUGGAAACCUUUUAUGUCAAAGUACCAAAAAAAAAAAACCAAACAAAUCCAAAAACCAGCCAAACCUCUUGUCACCACAGGAUGCACUCAGGGACAACUGAGCCCAUCACCCAAGGGAAGGAGGAGGGUAGUGCUGGCAGGCAGUUUUAUGGAGUGAGAUGGGAUGCUUCAGAAGAGCUCAAACACACAGCACAUUUCCUGACCUCCAGGGAGCAUCCUCUGUGACUUCAUUUCAUGCAUCUGAGCACUGCAUCUAAACCACAGUGUGAAGCAUCUACGGUUACAAAGGGGAUUGUCCAAAGGAAGUGCUAAUUUCUAACAGUCCAGCUCUUGAACUAGUUGAAAACAAGACUUGGAAACAGUUGUCCACAAAAACUAAAGUUAUCAUGUAAUAAUGCCUGCAGGGGUUCCACAACUGUUGCAUAAUUUAGAACAAAUUUGGCACUUCUUGAGGUAAGUCCCAGUAAAGAAUAUAAAGUGAUCACAUCUGCCAAUCUACAUGCCUGAGUGAGUGCUGCAGCAUGCUCUGGGUUGGGUUUAUGCUUUCCUUUAAUGAUCAUAGGCUCCUGCAAGAAAAUUCUGUCCAUCUAGUAUAUCCCUUGGC